rnacentral:rRNA from 1 species
UACAGAGGUCCCAAGCGUUGUUCGGAUUCAUUGGGCGUAAAGGGUGCGUAGGCGGCGCGGUAAGUCGGGUGUGAAAUCUCGGGAGCUUAACUCCGAAACUGCAUUCGAUACUGCCGUGCUUGAGGACUGGAGAGGAGACUGGAAUUUACGGUGUAGCGGUGAAAUGCGUAGAUAUCGUAAGGAAGACCAGUGGCGAAGGCGGGUCUCUGGACAGUUCCUGACGCUGAGGCACGAAGGCCAGGGGAGCAAACGGG